UAAUACGAAUGGGGCAAGCGUUGUUCGGAAUCACUGGGCUUAAAGCGUGCGCAGGCGGCCAAGCAAGUCAGAAGUGAAAUCCCCGGGCUUAACCCGGGAAUUGCUUUUGAAACUGCAUGGCUAGAAUCCAGGAGAGGUUAGCAGAAUUCCGAGUGUAGAGGUGAAAUUCGCAGAUAUUCGGAGGAAUACCAGUGGCGAAGGCGGCUAACUGGACUGGCAUUGACGCUCAGGCACGAAAGCGUGGGGAUCAAACAGG
rnacentral:rRNA from 1 species